GAUGAACGCUAGCGGCAGGCCUAAUACAUGCAAGUCGAACGGUGUAGCAAUACACAGUGGCGCACGGGUGCGUAACACGUAUGCAACCUACCUUACAUUGGGGGAUAGCCUUUCGAAAGGGAGAUUAAUACCGCAUAAGACAGUAACUAGGCAUCUAGUAGCUGUUAAAGAUUUAUCGAUGUAAGCUGGGCAUGCGUCCAAUUAGUUAGUUGGCGAGGUAAUGGCUCACCAAGACGAUGAUUGGUAGGGGAACUGAGAGGUCAAUCCCCCACACUGGCACUGAGAUACGGGCCAGACUCCUACGGGAGGCAGCAGUAGGGAAUAUUGGGCAAUGGGCGCAAGCCUGACCCAGCCAUGCCGCGUGCAGGAAGAAGGCGUUAUGCGUUGUAAACUGCUUUUAUACAGGAAGAAACGACCCUUGCGAGGGUAGCUGAAGGUACUAUACGAAUAAGCACCGGCUAACUCCGUGCCAGCCGCCGCUGUAAUAC
rnacentral:rRNA from 1 species